GCAAACUUGGUCAUUUAGAGGAAGUAAAAGUCGUAACAAGGUUUCCGUAGGUGAACCUGCGGAAGGAUCAUCAAUGAAUCCCACUAUAUACACUCUGUGAACCGUACCGCAGUUGGAUUGGGGUGGCCACACACAGCGUCCUUUGCGGACGGGGGCGCCCCAAGCAACACACAAUUAGCUAAAACACUAUGCCAUCAUCUUUUGUCUGAAACACUACACAAACAAAAUAUACAACUUUCAACAGUGGAUCUCUUGGCUCUCGCAUCGAUGAAGAACGCAGC
rnacentral:misc_RNA from 1 species